rnacentral:rRNA from 1 species
CCUACGGGAGACUGCAGUGAGGAAUAUUGGUCAAUGGGCGAGAGCCUGAACCAGCCAAGUCGCGUGAGGGAGUACUGCCCUAUGGGUUGUAAACCUCUUUUGUCGGGGAGCAAAAGCCGGACGUGUCCGGCUGUGAGAGUACCCGAAGAAAAAGCAUCGGCUAACUCCGUGCCAGCAGCCGCGUUAAUACGGGGGAUGCGAGCGUUAUCCGGAUUUAGUGGGUUUAAGGGGUGCGCAGGCGGAUUUUUAUGUAAGCGGUAAAAUUGUGGGGCUAAACCCCAUCCAGCCGUUGAAACUGGGGAUCUAGAGUGUGCGAGAGGUAUGCGGAAUGCGUGGUGUAGCGGUGAAAUGCAUAGAUAUCACGCAGAACCCCGAUUGCGAAGGCAGCAUACCGGUGCACAACUGACGCUCAGGCACGAAAGCGUGGGUAUCGAACAGGAUUAGAUACCCUUGUAGUC